GGCUUAAUAGUUUAAUAAGAAUGUCGGUCUUGUAAUCUGGAGGUGUGAUGUACUUAAGCCG
rnacentral:tRNA from 1 species